GACGAACGCUGGCGGCGUGCUUAACACAUGCAAGUCGAACGGACAGGCCCUGCUUUUGUUCGUCGCUCGUGUGCCGAACGGGUGUGUAACACGUGUGUAUCCUGUACCUGUCUUUCGGAUAUCUUCAGGAAACUGCGGCUCUUAUCGCCUAGGAUCUCUUGCUCCAUGGUGGGCGUUGGUUAGUUUCGGCGGUUGGGGCUGGACUCGCAGCUUAUCAGCUUGUUGGUGGGGUAGUGGCUUACCAAGCCUUCGACGGCUAGGCGACCUGGGAGGGGGACCGGCGACAUGAGGACUGAGGGACGGCCCAGACGGGAACGGGAGGCAGCGGGGGGGAAUAUUACACAAUGGGGGGAAGCCAGAGGCAGCGACGCCGCGUGCGGGAUGACGGGCUACGGGGGGUGAACCACUGUCGACUGAGACGAGGCGGGAGUGACGGUAAUGGGUAAAGAAGCACCGGCUAACUACGUG
rnacentral:rRNA from 1 species